AGGUUAAGUGAAUAAGGGCGCACGGUGGAUGCCUUGGCACUAGGAGCCGAUGAAGGACGGGACUAACACCGAUAUGCUUUGGGGAGCUGUACGUAAGCUAUGAUCCAGAGAUUUCCGAAUGGGGGAACCCAGCAUCUUUAAUAGGAUGUUACGAUUGUGUGAAUACAUAGCACAUUCGAGGUAGACGCAGAGAACUGAAACAUCUAAGUACCUGCAGGAAGAGAAAGAAAAUUCGAUUCCCUGAGUAGCGGCGAGCGAAACGGGAAAAGCCCAAACCAGCAAGCUUGCUUGUUGGGGUUGUAGGACUCCAAUAUGGUAGUUCUUUCAGAUAGUCGAAUGACUUGGAAAAGUCAGUCAAAAGAGGGUAAAAACCCCGUAGACGAAAUGUGGAAGACACCUAGGAGGAUCCUGAGUACGGCGGAACACGAGAAAUUCCGUCGGAAUCCGGGAGGACCAUCUCCCAAGGCUAAAUACUCCCUAGUGACCGAUAGUGAACCAGUACCGUGAGGGAAAGGUGAAAAGCACCCCGGAAGGGGAGUGAAAUAGAACCUGAAACCGUGUGCCUACAACAAGUCAAAGCCCGUUAAUGGUGAUGGCGUGCCUUUUGUAGAAUGAACCGGCGAGUUACGAUUGCAUGCGAGGUUAAGUUGAAGAGACGGAGCCGCAGCGAAAGCGAGUCUGAAUAGGGCGUUUGAGUAUGUAGUCGUAGACGCCGAAACCAUGUGAUCUACCCAUGUCCAGGUUGAAGGUGCGGUAAAACGCACUGGAGGACCGAAACCCACGUACGUUGAAAAGUGCGGGGAUGAGGUGUGGGUAGCGGAGAAAUUCCAAACGAACUUGGAGAUAGCUGGUUCUCUCCGAAAUAGCUUUUAGGCUAGCCUCGGAAUUGAGAAUGAUGGAGGUAGAGCACUGUUUGGACUAGGGGCCCAUCUCGGUUACCGAAUUCAGAUAAACUCCGAAUGCCAUUCAUUCAUAUCCGGGAGUCAGACUGUGAGUGAUAAGAUCCAUAGUCGAAAGGGAAACAGCCCAGACCACCAGCUAAGGUCCCAAAAUAUAUGUUAAGUGGAAAAGGAUGUGGGUUGCACAGACAACUAGGAUGUUGGCUUAGAAGCAGCCACCAUUUAAAGAGUGCGUAAUAGCUCACUAGUCGAGUGACCCUGCGCCGAAAAUGUACCGGGGCUAAACAUAUUACCGAAGCUGUGGAGUACACCUUUAGGUGUAUUGGUAGGAGAGCGUUCUAAGGGCGUUGAAGGCAGAUCGUGAGGACUGCUGGAGCGCUUAGAAGUGAGAAUGCCGGUAUGAGUAGCGAAAGACAGGUGAGAAUCCUGUCCACCGAAUGACUAAGGUUUCCUGGGGAAGGCUCGUCCGCCCAGGGUUAGUCGGGACCUAAGCCGAGGCCGACAGGCGUA
rnacentral:rRNA from 1 species